rnacentral:rRNA from 1 species
AUGAACGCUGGCGGCGUGCCUAAUACAUGCAAGUCGAACGAGUUCUGAUUAUUGAAAGGUGCUUGCAUCUUGAUUUAAUUUUGAACGAGUGGCGGACGGGUGAGUAACACGUGGGUAACCUGCCCUUAAGUGGGGGAUAACAUUUGGAAACAGAUGCUAAUACCGCAUAAAUCCAAGAACCGCAUGGUUCUUGGCUGAAAGAUGGCGUAAGCUAUCGCUUUUGGAUGGACCCGCGGCGUAUUAGCUAGUUGGUGAGGUAACGGCUCACCAAGGCAAUGAUACGUAGCCGAACUGAGAGGUUGAUCGGCCACAUUGGGACUGAGACACGGCCCAAACUCCUACGGGAGGCAGCAGUAGGGAAUCUUCCACAAUGGACGCAAGUCUGAUGGAGCAACGCCGCGUGAGUGAAGAAGGCUUUCGGGUCGUAAAACUCUGUUGUUGGAGAAGAAUGGUCGGCAGAGUAACUGUUGUCGGCGUGACGGUAUCCAACCAGAAAGCCACGGCUAACUACGUGCCAGCAGCCGCGGUAAUACGUAGGUGGCAAGCGUUAUCCGGAUUUAUUGGGCGUAAAGCGAGCGCAGGCGGUUUUUUAAGUCUGAUGUGAAAGCCCUCGGCUUAACCGAGGAAGUGCAUCGGAAACUGGGAAACUUGAGUGCAGAAGAGGACAGUGGAACUCCAUGUGUAGCGGUGAAAUGCGUAGAUAUAUGGAAGAACACCAGUGGCGAAGGCGGCUGUCUGGUCUGUAACUGACGCUGAGGCUCGAAAGCAUGGGUAGCGAACAGGAUUAGAUACCCUGGUAGUCCAUGCCGUAAACGAUGAAUGCUAGGUGUUGGAGGGUUUCCGCCCUUCAGUGCCGCAGCUAACGCAUUAAGCAUUCCGCCUGGAGACACCGACUGCAAGGUUGAAACUCAAAGGAAUUGACGGGGGCCCGCACAAGCGGUGGAGCAUGUGGUUUAAUUCGAAGCAACGCGAAGAACCUUACCAGGUCUUGACAUCUUUUGAUCACCUGAGAGAUCGGGUUUCCCCUUCGGGGGCAAAAUGACAGGUGGUGCAUGGUUGUCGUCAGCUCGUGUCGUGAGAUGUUGGGUUAAGUCCCGCAACGAGCGCAACCCUUAUGACUAGUUGCCAGCAUUUAGUUGGGCACUCUAGUAAGACUGCCGGUGACAAACCGGAGGAAGGUGGGGAUGACGUCAAAUCAUCAUGCCCCUUAUGACCUGGGCUACACACGUGCUACAAUGGAUGGUACAACGAGUUGCGAGACCGCGAGGUCAAGCUAAUCUCUUAAAGCCAUUCUCAGUUCGGACUGUAGGCUGCAACUCGCCUACACGAAGUCGGAAUCGCUAGUAAUCGCGGAUCAGCACGCCGCGGUGAAUACGUUCCCGGGCCUUGUACACACCGCCCGUCACACCAUGAGAGUUUGUAACACCCGAAGCCGGUGGCGUAACCCUUUUAGGGAGCGAGCCGUCUAAGGUGGGACAAAUGAUUAGGGUGAAGU